CCUACGGGAGGCAGCAGUGAGGAAUAUUGGUCAAUGGGCGCAAGCCUGAACCAGCCAAGUCGCGUGAGGGAAGAAUGCCCUAUGGGUGGUAAACCUCUUUUAUAAGGGAAGAAUAAUGACUACGUGUAGUCAGAUGCCCGUACCUUAUGAAUAAGCAUCGGCUAACUCCGUGCCAGCAGCCGCGGUAAUACGGAGGAUGCGAGCGUUAUCCGGAUUGAUUGGGUUAAAAGGGUACGUAGGCGGCAUUUUAAGUUAGUGGUAAAACGUCGGGGCUUCACCUUGAUUGGCCACUAAAACUGGAGGACUAGAGUACAGACGAGGUAGGCGGAAUAAGUUAAGUAGCGGUGAAAUGCUUAGAUAUAACUUAGAACCCCGAUAGCGAAGGCAGCUUACCAGACUGUUACUGACGCUGAAGCACGAGAGCGUGGGUAGCGAACAGGAUUAGAUACCCUUGUAGUC
rnacentral:rRNA from 1 species